CGGCGUGCUUAACACAUGCAAGUCGAACGCUGAAGCCUGGCUUUUGUUGGGUGGAUGAGUGGCGAACGGGUGAGUAACACGUGAGUAACCUGCCCCCUUCUUUGGGAUAACGCCCGGAAACGGGUGCUAAUACUGGAUAUUCACUGGCCUUCGCAUGGGGGUUGGUGGAAAGGGUUUUUCUGGUGGGGGAUGGGCUCGCGGCCUAUCAGCUUGUUGGUGGGGUGAUGGCCUACCAAGGCUUUGACGGGUAGCCGGCCUGAGAGGGUGACCGGUCACAUUGGGACUGAGAUACGGCCCAGACUCCUACGGGAGGCAGCAGUGGGGAAUAUUGCACAAUGGGCGCAAGCCUGAUGCAGCGACGCCGCGUGAGGGAUGGAGGCCUUCGGGUUGUGAACCUCUUUCGCUCAUGGUCAAGCCGCAACAAUGGUUGUGGUGAGGGUAGUGGGUAAAGAAGCGCCGGCUAACUACGUGCCAGCAGCCGCGG
rnacentral:rRNA from 1 species